rnacentral:rRNA from 1 species
CCUACGGGAGGCAGCAGGGGGGAAUUUUGCACAAUGGGGGAAACCCUGAUGCAGCAACGCCGCGUGGAGGAUGAAGUCCCUUGGGAUGUAAACUCCUUUCGACCGGGACGAUUAUGACGGUACCGGAAGAAGAAGCACCGGCUAACUCUGUGCCAGCAGCCGCGGUAAU